rfam:Otolemur garnettii contig171409, whole genome shotgun sequence.
GCUCCUGUGGCUCAAAGAAGUAGGGCUCUGGCCUCAUAUGCCAGAGGUGGUGGGUUCAAACCCAGCCCUGGCCA